AACGAACGCUGGCGGCAUGCCUAACACAUGCAAGUCGAACGAGACCUUCGGGUCUAGUGGCGCACGGGUGCGUAACGCGUGGGAAUCUGCCCUUUGCUUCGGAAUAACAGUUAGAAAUGACUGCUAAUACCGGAUGAUGUCUUCGGACCAAAAGAUUUAUCGGCAAAGGAUGAGCCCGCGUAGGAUUAGGUAGUUGGUGGGGUAAAGGCCUACCAAGCCGACGAUCCUUAGCUGGUCUGAGAGGAUGAUCAGCCACACUGGGACUGAGACACGGCCCAGACUCCUACGGGAGGCAGCAGUGGGGAAUAUUGGACAAUGGGCGCAAGCCUGAUCCAGCAAUGCCGCGUGAGUGAUGAAGGCCUUGGGUCGUAAAGCUCUUUACCAGGGAUGAUAAUGACAGUACCUGGAGAAUAAGCUCCGGCUAACUCCGUGCCAG
rnacentral:rRNA from 1 species